GAGUGGGAUGAGCUCCGGGUAGAAGUGACAAACUAACCGAACCUGGUGAUAGCUGGUUGCCUAAGAAAUGAAUAGAAGUUCAGCCUCGUACACCCUUUUUCAAUAAAUAUAUUACCAAGAUUUCAGGAAAAACACGAGAGUUAGUUGAAGGGGGUACAGCCCCUUUAACAAAGGAUACAACUUUACAGGAGGAUAAAGAUCAUAGU
rnacentral:rRNA from 1 species